GACGAACGCUGGCGGCGUGCUUAACACAUGCAAGUCGAACGGAAAGGCCCUGCUUGCAGGGUACUCGAGUGGCGAACGGGUGAGUAACACGUGGGUGAUCUGCCCUGCACUUCGGGAUAAGCUUGGGAAACUGGGUCUAAUACCGGAUAGGAACCAUCUUUAGUGUGGUGGUUGGAAAGUUUUUUCGGUGUAGGAUGAGCUCGCGGCCUAUCAGCUUGUUGGUGGGGUAAUGGCCUACCAAGGCGGCGACGGGUAGCCGGCCUGAGAGGGUGUACGGCCACAUUGGGACUGAGAUACGGCCCAGACUCCUACGGGAGGCAGCAGUGGGGAAUAUUGCACAAUGGGCGCAAGCCUGAUGCAGCGACGCCGCGUGGGGGAUGAAGGCCUUCGGGUUGUAAACUCCUUUCGCUAGGGACGAAGCUUUGUUGUGACGGUACCUAGAGAAGAAGCACCGGCUAUCUACGUG
rnacentral:rRNA from 1 species